AGUCGAGCGUCUCUAAGCUAUGGAAGAGACGCGGCACACAGCUCAGUAACACGUGGCUAACCUGCCCUUGGGACAAGGACAACUCCGGGAAACUGGGGCUAAUCCCUGAUAGGUGAGAACUCCUGGAAUGGAUUCUCGCUGAAAGGACGUUUAGACCAUGCUUCUAGGCGUCGCCCAAGGAGGGGGCCGCGACCGAUCAGGUUGUUGGUGAGGUAACGGCUCACCAAGCCUUUAACCGGUACGGGCCGUGAGAGCGGAAGCCCGGAGAUGGGCACUGAGACAAGGGCCCAGGCCCUACGGGGCGCAGCAGUCGCGAAAACUCCGCAAUACACGAAAGUGUGACGGGGCUAUCCCGAGUGCCAUCCGCUGAGGAUGGCUUUUCCCCAGUGUGUAAAGCUGGGGGAAUAAGGAGAGGGCAAGCCUGGUGUCAGCCGCCGCGGUAAUACCAGCUCUCCGAGUGGUGGGGAUGUUUAUUGGGCCUAAAGCAUUCGUAGCCUGCUUGGCAAGUCCUCCGUUAAAUCCAACGAUUCAAUCGUUGGGCUGCGGGGGAUACUGUCCGGCUAGGGGGCGGGAGAGGCCGACGGUAUCCCCGGGGUAGGGGUGAAAUCCUAUAAUCCCGGGAGGACCACCAGUGGCGAAGGCUGUCGGCUAGAACGCGCUCGACGGUGAGGGAUGAAAGCUGGGGGAGCGAACCGGAUUAGAUACCCGGGUAGUCCCAGCUGUAAACGAUGCAGGCUAGGUGU
rnacentral:rRNA from 1 species